CGCUAAGCCUAAAUAUUCCCUGGUGACCGAUAGCGGAUAGUACCGUGAGGGAAUGGUGAAAAGUACCCCGGGAGGGGAGUGAAAUAGUACCUGAAACCGUGUGCCUACAAGCCGUGGGAGCGUCGGAAGCAAGCUUGCUUGCAUCUCGUGACUGCGUGCCUUUUGAAGAAUGAGCCUGCGAGUUUGCGGUGUGUUGCGAGGUUAACCCGUGUGGGGAAGCCGUAGCGAAAGCGAGUCCGAAUAGGGCGGUAUAGUAGCGCGCUCAAGACCCGAAGCGGAGUGAUCUAGCCAUGGGCAGGUUGAAGCGGAGGUAAGACUUCGUGGAGGACCGAACCCACCAGGGUUGAAAACCUGGGGGAUGACCUGUGGUUAGGGG
rnacentral:rRNA from 1 species